AGUAGGAUGGCUGAAAAUUUAGGUGAUAAAUUGUAAAUUUAUUUAUGAGUUAAGUACUCUUCUACU
rnacentral:tRNA from 1 species